rnacentral:rRNA from 1 species
AGAGUUUGAUCCUGGCUCAGGAUGAACGCUGGCGGUAUGCUUAACACAUGCAAGUCGUACGGUCUCUUUGAGAUAGUGGCGGACGGGUGAGUAACGCGUAAGUUAUCUACGUUUAGGAGAGGUAUACCAAAUGGAAACGUUUGUUAAUUCCUCAUAAUACUUAACAGUUAAAUGGAAUUUCCGCCUAAUCAUGAGCUUGCGUCUGAUUAGCUUGUUGGUGAGGUAAUAGCUUACCAAGGCAACGAUCAGUAGCUAUUUUGAGAAGAUGAAUAGCCACACUGGGAUUUAGAACGGAACAGACUCCUACGGGAGGCAGCAGUGGGGAAUAUUUGGCAAUGGGCGAAAGCUUGACCAAGCAAUACCGCGUGAAGGAUGAAGGCUCUAGGGUUGUAAACUUCUUUUCUGAUUGAUGAAUUUUGACAGUAAAUCAGGAAUAAGCAUCGGCUAACUCUGUGCCAGCAGCCGCGGUAAUACAGAGGAUGCAAGCGUUAUCCGGAAUUAUUGGGCGUAAAGCGUCCGUAGAUGGUUUUUUAAGUUCCAUGUUAAAUUGCAAAGCUUAACUUUGAAAGUGCAUUGAAAACUGAAAAACUUUAGUACGAUAGAGGCAAAGGGAAUUUUCAGUGUAGCGGUGAAAUGCGUAGAUAUUGGAAAGAACACCUAUUGCGAAGGCACUUUGCUAGGUUGAUACUGAAAUUGAGGGACGAAAGCUAGGGUAGUAAAAAGGAUUAGAUACCCUUGUAGUCCUAGCUGUAAACAAUGGACACUAAGUGGUGCUUAUGUACUGCUGUAGCUAACGCGUUAAGUGUCCCGCCUGGGGAGUACGCUUGCAAAAGUGAAACUCAAAGGAAUUGACGGGGGCCCGCACAAGCGGUGGAACAUGCGGUUUAAUUGAAUGAUACAUCAGAACCUUACCAGGGUUUGACAUAUUAGUUCGUUCUUUGAAAGAGGAAUUUGCCCCAAAAGGGAAUCUAAUACAACUGGUGCAUGGCUGUCGUCAGCUCGUGUCGUGAGACGGAUGGUUAAUUCCCAUAACGAGCGCAACCCUUUUUUCUUGUUAUUUUACUAGAAAUACUGCCAGUGAUAAAUUGGAGGAAGGUGAGGAUGAGGUCAAGUCAUCAUGCCGUUUAUGUCCUGGGCUACACGCGUGUUACAAUGGGUGAGAACAAUGAGUUGCUAAUUCGUGAGAAGGUGCUAAUCUCUUAAAAUCAUCCUUAGUUCGGAUAUAAACCUGCAACUCGGUUUAUUGAAGUUGGAAUCGCUAGUAAUCGCCGGUCAGACAUACGGCGGUGAAUACGUUCUCGGGCCUUGUACACACCGCCCGUCACACCAUGGAAGUUGGUUUUAUCUGAAGUGGUUUUCUUUUUUGAGAAACUAUUAAGGUUGGGUUAGUAACUGGGGUGAAGUCGUAACAAGGUAGCCGUACUGGAAGGUGUGGCUGGAACAACU